UGCUUAGGGGUGCUGUCUGGGGCUCUUCUAACUCAGAGCCGUAUCACAGAAAUACAUGGGAGCACUUCAUAUUGGUCACAUAUUGAGCAGGCCGUUUCCUAGAUCCCAUCAUCUCUUGAAAUAACCAGAUGAAGACCUACAAAGUUGGAGUUCUCAUUUAUUCUCAGCAAAUAAUGAACUUUACAUAUUUAAUUCAUCUGACAAAGAUGGAGAAAAUUUGUUGAAAGUAAUAUAAUCCUGUUGAGGUUGAGGAGACCCUGUCCCAGAAAAAGCCGCUAAACCAGGAAGUUAUUUUGUGGUUCAAUCAAUAAGAUAUUUCCAAGCUGCUUCACCACUUCCCACUGCCACCUCUUCCACUGGAGUGAAGACUUCCUGUUUUGUAGCAAGUGCAAUUAUGCCUUCACCAUCAACCACCAACCUGAGGACUGCAUUCACUGCAUCCCAU